rnacentral:rRNA from 1 species
UACGGAGGGUGCGAGCGUUGUCCGGAAUCACUGGGCGUAAAGGGCGCGUAGGCGGCCUGGUAAGCGUGCGGUGAAAUCCCCGGGCUUAACCUGGGAACUGCGCUUCUAACUGGCAGGCUUGAGUGUGGCAGAGGGGGGUGGAAUUCCACGUGUAGCAGUGAAAUGCGUAGAGAUGUGGAGGAACACCGAUGGCGAAGGCAGCCCCCUGGGCUAACACUGACGCUCAUGCACGAAAGCGUGGGGAGCAAACAGG